AAUCUUCCCGAACUCAAGUGCGCUUAUGUAGAUAUUCACACU
rnacentral:rRNA from 1 species